CCUACGGGAGGCAGCAGUGGGGAAUCUUGCGCAAUGGGCGAAAGCCUGACGCAGCAACGCCGCGUGCGGGAAGAAGGCUUUCGGGCUGUAAACCGCUUUCAGCAGGAACGAAAAUGACGGUACCUGCAGAAGAAGGAGCGGCCAACUAUGUGCCAGCAGCCGCGGUGAUACAUAGGCUUCAAGCGUUGUCCGGGAUUUAUUGGGCGUAAAGAGUUCGUAGGCGGUCGAGUAAGUCGGGUGUGAAAAUUCUGGGCUCAACCCAGAGACGCCACCCGAUACUGCUUGACUUGAGUUCGAUAGGGGAGUGGGGAAUUCCUAGUGUAGCGGUGAAAUGCGCAGAUAUUAGGAGGAACACCGGUGGCGAAGGCGCCACUCUGGAUCGAUACUGACGCUGAGGAACGAAAGCAUGGGUAGCAAACAGGAUUAGAUACCCUGGUAGUCCAUGCCGUAAACGGUGGGCACUAGGUGUGGGUUUCUAUUAACGAAAUCCGCGCCGUCGCUAACGCAUUAAGUGCCCGCCUGGGGAGUACGGUCGCAAGCUAAACUCAAAGGAAUUGACGGCUUGAGACGNGCGAGCGCGACGAGGGAGAG
rnacentral:rRNA from 1 species